rnacentral:lncRNA from 1 species
GUACAGAAGAGGCUUCACAUAAAAGGACUCUUUCUCUUCUAUGCCCCAUAAUUUUCAUAAUUGUUUCUGGUGUGUGACAUUUAAGAAAUCGAUGGAAAUUUAAGAAGUGGUUAAGAGUCUUAAAGAAGAAAGACUCUUCCUCUUCUCAAUGCUAAAGAGAGGUGGUGGCAAUUAAUUUUUGACAUGAAACCAAAGUGGCGUGGAGGUCUCCCUCCACACUUGAAACUUUUCUAAGUUAGAUAGGAGUCCAACUAAAAUAGAUCUAAUCCAAUCAUGUCAAAGGCAAC